rnacentral:lncRNA from 1 species
UUUUUUAGAAAAAUAAAAAAAAUUAAUAAGUGCAAAAUACUUUUAAAAAUUUAUUUAAAAAUAUGCGGAAUGUCAUAUGCCCCUUAAACCUACAAAUACUUUUAACAACCAACAAAAUCCAAGUUAAGAAACCAUACAAAUAUCACUUAUAUAGCAGGUUCUCCGUCUUCCGAAUCAAUAAUAAUGCAACCAUGCGUAUGUGUUUGUGUGCUAUAUUUAUACUCAAAGGGAAACAUUUUGUAGUUUUUUCGCUGAAUAAUACUAGCUUGAUUUGGAUCUCUUGUAAUUGAAGAUGUAAAGCUGGACACA